CUACAAUCUCAGGGUUUAUUUUAGACUUCACUCUCUCCCGAACGAGGUCCUGAUCCGCUCCUCCCCCUCUCCCGAGGAUACGCAGCCGCCGCCUUCGCCGGAUUCGCCGUCGUCGAUCUGCUGAUCCGGGCAGCGCAGCCGCCGCCGAUCUGCCUAUCCAGGCAGACGCGGCCGUCAUGGAUCACGAGAACACCGCGCCUCGAAUACGUUGCCCAUCACCACCACGAUGGCACCUCGCUGCUGCCACUCAGCAUGGAUGGCCGCCCCAAGACAUGGAUAAGCUCUCGUGAUCCCCACCCCACCCCUCUCAUCCACUGAAUCCAUAUCCUCCUUCCCGUCUUGAUCCCGCCCAUGAUCUGAUCAGGAAGCUGCCCACGGUCCGAUCCCCUGGUUUUUUAUCCAGUUAUCCACCUCUCGUCUCUCGUCUAGCAACCCCCAUCUUCGGUGUGGCGACGUUGCUGACGUCGCCGCGACCUCCCGCAAUUCUAGGCUCAGCCUUCCUCGACUCCAUGCGCGGCUGACGAGGUGGUCUUCGUCCAGAGGUGGUAUGCUCGUGCUCUCCUGGUCCUCCCGAAACGACGAGGGGUAGUGCCGGUCGUGGCUCAGCAGGAUAGCAUAGGCUUGCCCUUGUUCUUUUGUGUUUGAAUCAGAUUUGUUGGUUCUCAGUUUUACAUGCACCUAUCAAUCUUUCUUCUGUAUGCAGGUUACACACCUGAUGAUGUUUACGGCGAGGCGCAGGAACAAGCAGAGGCCGAGGAAGUGCGGGCACACGCGAGGAAGGUUCAGCGGGCUGCAGAAGUCGGGCCACGCCCGGAGCGCCGUGCCAACGCAUGUGUGCGUGGUCGGUGGGUUGGCCAAGAUCUGCAUUCUGCGACUUCGUCUUCACCAUGGACACAAGCAAGGACUGAUUCGUGGGUCUUGGUAGCAGUGCCGAGCAUCGGCGGAUCGAAGAGGUCGAGGUCGCGGUUAAUCGACCAGGACGAGACAUGCAUCUUGGAGCUAGCGCAGAGGGGGAAAGAAGCAGGUUGGUCUGGCCUGGCCUCGCAAAUGAAUUGAAACCUUGAUGCAAAAGGAAACUUCCUGAAGAAGAUAUUGAAAAUCCAACAUCACAGCAUAUAGGAGACUACUUAUUUUGGUCAUGCUGAUCGAUUGGCCUAUGAAACUUCUGCGACUUCGUAUUCACCAUGGACACAAGCAAGGACUGAUUCGUGGGUCUUGGUAGCGGUGCCGAGCAUCGGUGGAUCGAAGUGGUCGAGGUCGCGGUUAAUCGACCAGGACGAGACAUGCAUCUUGGAGCUAGCGCAGAGGGGGAAAGAAGCAGGUUGGUCUGGCCCGGCCUCGCAAAUGAAUUGGUUCCAAAGUUUGACUGUAGCUAGCUUGAUUUGGAGACAUUUCAUGUUAGGACUUAAACUUUGGUACCUUUGUUACUUGGUAUUCCCCUGUCAGCGUUCAGGAGUCGGGUAGUUGUGGAGUGGGUCGUGGGAGAGACCGUCGGCGAGAGCGGGCUGGAUGGGAAGGUGAUGCCUGCGAUGGCGAACAUGCCGGCGAGCAGGGAAGGGUUGACCAUGGCCAUUGCGCAGCUGAAGAAGUCGAAGCCUGGGGCGAGGUUGGCCACCGUGGCCGAUGUGAAAGCUGACGGACCUAAAGGCUGGUGACAGGUUCACCGCCAUCGCAGUCUCUGAACUUGGUGGAGACGCGGAAGGAGAGCGGUGGCGCCGUGAAGACCUCAACGUUUGCUGCCGCGGCCAUGACCAUGAUCAUGACCAUUGUGUUGGUAACAAAUAUACUAAUUGUAUACAUAUCCCCCAGCUUAGGAAACAUUAGAUAAAUAUCCAACUUAUUAUUGAAAAAGCUUGAUUCAAAAUAAAUGGAACCUUUCCUAUAUACAAUGAGCUU